rnacentral:rRNA from 1 species
GACGAACGCUGGCGGCGUGCUUAACACAUGCAAGUCGAACGAUGAAGGAGAGCUUGCUCUCCGGAUUAGUGGCGAACGGGUGAGUAACACGUGACUAACCUGCCCCUUUCUCUGGGAUAACGCUCCGAAAGGAGUGCUAAUACCGGAUACGAACUCUGAACACAUGUUCGGAGUUGGAAAGUUUUUCGGAAAGGGAUGGAGUCGCGGCCCAUCAGCUUGUUGGUGAGGUAACGGCUCACCAAGGCGACGACGGGUAGCCGGCCUGAGAGGGCGACCGGCCACACUGGGACUGAGACACGGCCAGACUCCGACGGGAGGCAGCAGUGGGGAAUAUUGCACAAUGGGCGAAAGCCUGAUGCAGCGACGCCGCGUGAGGGAUGAAGGUCUUCGGAUUGUAAACCCCUUUCAGUAGGGACGAAGCGAAAGUGACGGUACCUAAAGAAGAAGCACCGGCUAACUACGUGCCAGCCGCCGCGGUAA